CAAUUUUAUUUGCUAAACCACACCCAAAAGGUCAUAUCCGGCCGUAAUACACGUAUCAAAUUACAUUGAAAACCUUGUUUGGGACAGCCAGCACUGGCCGGUAAACGGAAUAGAGAGUGGCCGUACUUCAGGGUUCAAAGAAGUCUGCUGUACUUAUAUUGUAUGAUUAUCAACUCUAUUGCUAUUGUUUUGUUUUAUGCCAUGAUUAUGAAGAUGCAUGAAUGAGAAAAGUGGGCAUCAAAACCGCAAGUAUAUGGACUAUUUUUUGCGUCAAUUUAUAAGAGCAGUAAGUACUUUCAGCAAGCUUUAUUGGUAUCUAUAUGUAGCUAAGUACCUUCCAGAGGGCCAGACAAAGAGAUAUUCGUUGUAGAACUUCAUACGGGCGAGUAAAAGCUAAGAGUAGACGGCAAGUAUCUAAAAAUACGCUUGAUCCCAAAAAGACACAAGAGUCUACUGUAUGAAACAUGGCUGCAGGAUAGAAACAGAAGUCAUGCAGGAGGACGAAGUUGACAAAUACUACAAGUUGAAGACAUGCUUUCAUGCUUGUGACAAUGGACCCAGAACUGUUAUAAUCAUUGGCUCUUAGUGUUCCUCGUAGAGACAAGAAAAGAUACUGGUGAGCCCUACCAUCAACCCAGCAAACGCUAUAGAAACUGGUAGUGAAAAAACUGAACAGCCAUAGCUAAUUAUCAUGCAGCUAGCUACAGCUUUAUUAUCAUUUCUGUGCAUUCAAAAAAAUUAUACUUGUACUUUAUACCCUCAAGCUUAUAAUUCCCUGGGAAACUAUGAGAUUAUGGCUCAUAAUUCCCUGCUAAACACACACAAGUGGGAUCUAAGACAGUUAAACCCCACUAGACUACACAGCCAAAAAUCCACGGGGCGUGUCAGGUCCGUUACAUGUCCGUUACAGGACGUUGUGAACUUCCUGAUACGGGACCGUUGGGUAGACACUACUAAACAGGCCGUUCUAACAGGUGCUUCACAGGCCCUUCUAACAGGUGCUUCACAGGCCGUUCUAUCAGGUGCUUUACAGGCCGUUCUGUAUCUAACAGGUGCUUUACAGGCUGUUGUGUUACUAUAUCAUGAGCUACUGUAUUGAGAAAAUAAUUGGCACACUUGAGAUCUUUAAGAGGGCAGCACCACCGCUACCUGCGUGUCGUCAGGAAACUUCAAAAGGGUUGAUAGUAGUCCAUAUGCAAUCUGCAAUGAGGAGACUGAUGACAAUGCAAUGAGUGCCAUGCUGGUAGAUCUCCUUGGAAGAGUUGAGUGUGUGAGGGUGAAUAUUGAAGGCAUACUGCCGCACUUCUUGAGAGGUGAGUAGAUGGGCUAGAUCAUCUCCAAUUCUAAGUGUGGGGAAAAUAAUCCAAAUUGAUUUUAUGUUUAGGCCAAAUAACCCAGGCAUAAUCUAUUAAAAAUCGAAGAUGAGAGGAGUCUUUUUUUCUUGGUAGGGCAACAACUUGGCCACUCCUCCUUACAUGUCACAUACAAAGUAGAAAAAGUAAAGGCACCAUGUGAAGAGAUGGUAAUUAAACAUGGCCAUAUUAAAGCAAAUAAAAGGAUCCAUGUAGCCCAUGAGGGGUCAAAAAAUUGAAGCAGGAGGGCCUGAGAAACAAGUCAUUAAGUUUGUGUGGCCUUAUGACCAAUAAAAACUAAAAGGUCCAGCUGUAGUGUAUAAAGAGUACAAGUAUAUAAAUAUUAUACGAAUGCGUUAUCUAGUCUGUUAUACAAUGUACCUUACUGUAGCGUCUUCUGGUGCUAUACACCCUUGUUCAGUAGGAAGUAGAGUUGCUCCAUCACUGCAAAUCUCUUGGCAAUGUCACGACUCGAUGACUGCCGAUUGGUGUGCAGGUUGUGCUCACGCAUGAGUCCAUUGAAACUUUCGCACCUGAAAAGGUGAAACUUAGGUUUAAGGAGCAACUCCGGCUUGGCAUGCCUCACGGUCUCAACUAACUCCUUGGUCACUUCCUUAACAUUCUCCACAGUCUGGGCACUUACUUGCUCACAGUGAGGUGUUCCCAAAGAACAAAUGGUGCCAUUUCUGCGAGUGCCUUAAAAUCCCUGCCAACACAGGACUGGUAGUAUCUGGUGAUACCGCCGGACAGAGAUGACGUACGUCCUGAUGCAGGGAAGGCUGUUAUUUUGGCAGCUAUGCUCUUCUUCAAAAAUACUGUGGCUUUCUGCAUCAGGUCUUUGAAGAGGUACUUGUAUGCACCCAAGAGGAUAGUAUGGAGACAUUCAAUAGGGGUGCUCCUAAACAGUUACAAAUAAUUAUUAUACAGUUAUGCCAUGUUACUGAGCUCUUACUUGUACAAAUCAACCGAAAGCUGAAAGAGUGCAUUGGUCUGACCAUACAAGCCAUAUUUUGUCUGCAAUUGCUUAGCAAGAGACUUUGUUUGUGCCCGGUUGAUGAUCCCCAUCUGAUUUAGUGAUGCCUCCUUUGAGCGCCGUCUGGAUAUCAUGUGAGCCGUUGUGUCUCUGUUACUCUGCAAUACAUAAUAAUGUGCAGUUGUAUGAUGAUUUAUAUGCUGUGUGAAUGUGUGCUCAAAUUGUUUACCAUGCAUAUCCGACAGUAGUGUUUGGCUGCACUACCCAGGUGUGAGGUGAGCUCUGAAGCACGAGGAUUGUCACAGAUCAGCGCUAUCACUGUAGCAAUCAGCAGCACUUCACAUUGGAGAUGAGCAUCAUACACAACGAUCCCUUCCGUCUCGAGUUUCACCAAGUCCUCAAUGAAGCCUUCAGCCAGGUCAAUACAGUCCAUUUCGUUUGAGCAGACAUUAGGAAGAGUUUGGCCAAAUUGGAACUCAGAGAAACCUGCAAUUAUUGGAUUAUAAUGUCGAGUUUUGAAAAUGCUAUCUAUGUACUUACACCCCACGACGUGCUUUCCACGGUAAAAACGUGAGAGUUUUUCUCAAUCAUUGUUUUUAACGUGUCAAUGGCCUUCCUGCUGUGUUGUUGCUCUUCUUGCACUUGUCUUAGUUUAGCUUUAAUUUCCUUUAAUUCCUUCAGCACUUCCUAUGUGUUAGUAAAACUUAAAAAUACAUUAAUUUUUAGGAAUUACUGUCAGAAUAGGAUUGUGUGAGUGCUUGCUUGGGUGAUUUGUGGAGGGUGCAUUGCCCAGAUGGUAAACCCCGCCAUUGACCAGUUUCGUUGUAGGAGCCAGAACCCUCUGUAUUUAACAAACAUGUUGUCGAUUGUAUUGUGCACAUAUAGUUUAUACCUUCUUUCUGUCUUGAAUGACUUUGCUUGCAAUGUCAAAACUCAUGCUUGUGCUUAAUUCACACAGAGCUCUCUCCACUGUGGUGGCUUCGAUUUCGACAGGUUCCGAACCCCCAAAGUAAAUUAGUACCAACGUUUUCCUACAUUACGGAUGUAUAAACAUGUAUUGUGUGCAUUUGAGAAGGAUAAUUUUGUCGCAAUAUAAACAUUAUGCAAUAAUACUUACUUUCGUUCUUUUGUUUUGACUGUAGGUAAGUCUGACGUCUUGAACGGAGCAGCAAAUACCUGGCCAAUGAAUAAUAAUUAUUGUAUUCUAUCUAUAUCUUAUCUUACUUUAGAUGUACUUGGAAUGUUUGCCAUAUUCAUUCUAUCUCAUUAAUGGUGUGGGUAUGACAGCUGGACUUGCUUCCAAAAGUAUGCGCAUGCUCAGUGAUUAACGUGCCGUGUACAGGACGUGGGUGCUACACCCUGAUACAGGCCCGUAUUUACAGGCUGUAAACAGGAUGUAGCCCCACGUCCUGUGUACAGCC